rnacentral:rRNA from 1 species
AACGAACGCUGGCGGCAUGCCUAACACAUGCAAGUCGAACGAGACCUUCGGGUCUAGUGGCGCACGGGUGCGUAACGCGUGGGAACCUGCCCUUAGGUUCGGAAUAACUCCCCGAAAGGGGUGCUAAUACCGGAUAAUGUCUUCGGACCAAAGAUUUAUCGCCUUUGGAUGGGCCCGCGUUGGAUUAGCUAGUUGGUAGGGUAAAAGCCUACCAAGGCGACGAUCCAUAGCUGGUCUGAGAGGAUGAUCAGCCACACUGGGACUGAGACACGGCCCAGACUCCUACGGGAGGCAGCAGUGGGGAAUAUGGGACAAUGGGCGAAAGCCUGAUCCAGCAAUGCCGCGUGAGUGAUGAAGGCCUUAGGGUGGUAAAGCUCUUUUACCCGGGAUGAUAAUGACAGUACCGGGAGAAUAAGCUCCGGCUAACUCCGU